rnacentral:misc_RNA from 1 species
GAAUUUUAGGGCGUCUACUUCGGUAGAGCCUGACCUCCACUCUCUAACACUGUGCACUCAUUGGCGGGAAUAGUAUGAGAUAAUAUCAAGUUCUAUUUUCCGCGGCUUAAUUUUUAAACAUUAGUCAAAGUAUGUAACGAAAUAUCGAAAUAAAAAAAAACUUUCAACAACGGAUCUCUUGGCUCU